ACUAAAGAGCCCAUGUCUCCGUAAUCGAAUCAGGGAAUAGUUUCAGAAGAGUGAGUAACAACCCUUUUUGCUCCACAACAAGGUUUUCUCCACAGGGCAAGAAGCUGGUUUGGUGUUUCUUUCAUUUCACUUUUAUAUGAAUAGAAGUUUGAAGGGUUUUAGGGAUUUGCAUGAUGUUAGGUUCAUUACCUAUAUUGCCACUCCCUGCUCCUCCUUCUGAUGGAAAUCUAGGUCCUCUCCCUGAGUCUCAAGUGAUUGAGGAGGAGCAGAACCAAUCAAAUUCUGCUUCUGUUCCGGCGCCGGUAACAGUUGCCACCCACACCAGAACGAUUGGAAUUAUACAUCCGCCUCCGGACAUUAGGACCAUUGUUGAUAAAACCGCCCAGUUCGUCGCUAAGAAUGGUCCAGAAUUUGAAAAGAGGAUUGUUGCAAAUAACACAGGAAAUGCCAAGUUCAAUUUCUUGAACUCAUCAGAUCCAUAUCACGCAUAUUAUCAACACAGGUUGUCUGAAUUUCGUGCUCAAAAUCAGUCUUCCCAGCCUGAAGACUCGGCUGUUCUUGAAUCCGCCCCGUCUGCACCGGCACCUGAUAGCAAUGGCGUAGCAGCAGCAGCAGCAGAAAAGCCAGAUGUUUCUGCCCAGUUUAGACCUGUAAGGAAAGUGCUCGAACCCCCUGAAGCUGAACUGUAUACAGUUCGGCUUCCUGAAGGAAUUACGGGGGAAGAGCUGGAUAUUAUAAAGCUUACAGCACAAUUUGUGGCUCGAAAUGGGAAAUCUUUUUUGACAGGGUUGACAAGUAGGGAAGUUAAUAAUCCCCAGUUCCAUUUUCUGAAACCGACCCACAGCAUGUUUACGUUUUUUACUUCCCUUGCGGAUGCAUAUUCAAAGGUUUUGAUGCCACCAAAGGGUUUGACUGAGAAGCUAAAGAAGAGUGUGUUUGAUAUGACUACUGUCCUUGAAAGGUGUGUGAAUAGGCUGGAGUGGGAGCGUUCGCAAGAGCAAGCUAGGCAAAAGGCUGAGGAUGAGAUAGAACAGGAAAGAAUACAAAUGGCUAUGAUUGAUUGGCAUGAUUUUGUGGUGGUUGAAACAAUAGAUUUUGCUGAUGAUGAGGAUCAAGAGUUACCUCCUCCAAUGACUAUUGAGGAGGUUAUAAGGAGAAGCAAGGUGACUGCCAUGGAAGAAGAUAUUGUUGAGCCUGGAAAGGAGGUUGAAAUGGAAAUGGAUGAGGAAGAGGCCCAGCUUGUUGAGGAGGGCAUGAGAGCUGCUAGUUUGGAAGACCAUGAUGACAGGAAACAGAAUGAAGUCAGGGUUACUGAAGACCCUGAACCACCGAUGAGAAUUGUUAAGAACUGGAAGAGACCAGAGGAAAGGAUUUCUGUGGAAAGAGAUUCAACCAAGUUUGUUGUUUCUCCUAUCACUGGUGAGUUAAUUCCUAUUAGCGAAAUGUCAGAACAUAUGCGGAUUUCUCUCAUUGAUCCCAAGUACAAAGAACAAAAAGAAAGAAUGUUUGCCAAAAUUCGAGAGACAACUUUGGCUGCGGAUGAUGAAAUUUCAAGAAACAUUGUUGGACUUGCUCGGACCCGUCCUGAUAUAUUUGGUACUACGGAAGAAGAGGUCUCCAAUGCUGUCAAGGCAGAGAUUGAGAAGAUAAAUGAUGAGCAACCAAAGCAGGUUAUAUGGGAUGGUCACACUGGUAGCAUUGGGCGCACUGCAAACCAAGCCAUGUCACAAAAUAUUGGAAACGAGGAUCAAAACGAUGCUUCUAAUAAUGAAGCCAGGAACCUUCUGGGUCCUGCUGCACCUCCUCCAAGACCAGGUAUGCCUUCAGUUCGUCCUCUUCCACCACCACCUGGACUGGCAUUGAAUCUUCCUCGUGUUCCUAUCCAAUAUUCUGCUCCCCAUAGUGGUGCCCUUCCAAUGCCUCCACCUAGACCCAUGAUGCCAUCUAUUCGGCCUGCUCCUCCUCCUCCAAUGCCAAUGAAUACUGGACAGCAGUCAGUUAUGGCUGGCCAACCACCCCCAAUGCAUCCAUCAAUUCCUAUGAAUAACCAAGGGAUUCCCAUACCCCCACCACCGGGAUCUCAGUUCACUCAUGUUCCAGUUCCACGACCUUUUGUUCCUCUUUCUGUUCCUCCAUCAGUUAUGCCUAUGAUGCAUCCACCACCUUUGCCUCAAGGACUUCCACCACCACCGCCACCAGAGGAGGCUCCUCCCCCACUCCCAGAAGAACCAGAACCAAAGAGGCAGAAACUUGAUGAUUCUGCUCUGAUCCCCGAAGAUCAAUUUCUGGCUCAACAUCCUGGACCUGUUCGCAUUAGUGUAUCUGUUCCUAAUGUUGAUGAGGGAAAUCUCAAGGGACAAGUUCUGGAAAUUACAGUGCUAUCUUUGUCUGAAACUGUUGGUAGUCUGAAGGAAAAAAUUGCUGGGGAGAUCCAGCUCCCUGCUAAUAAGCAGAAAUUGAGUGGAAAGCCUGGCUUUCUCAAGGAUAAUAUGUCACUUGCCCAUUACAAUGUUGGUGGAGGUGAAACACUUACCCUCACCUUAAGAGAGCGUGGUGGUAGAAAGAGAUGAGCAUAUUGCUUGCAUUUCUGUUCAAGAAGGUUGUUGUAAUCUUUGCCUUAUUAUGAGGCAUAUGGAUUCUUAUAGUAUUGAUAGACUACAUGAUGUUAUAUCUGGAAUUUUAUGUUGAAUACAUUAGAUUUAUUGUAUUGUGAUCUUGAGGUAUUUACUGCUGUCAUGGAGACUGAUGUUAAUUCUGGAAUACAGAUUUUGGCACCUUGGCACUUCUCUCUUGAGAAAUUCUACUUGGACUUGUUGGAAGGGCUUUGCAGCUUAGCCUGAUGUGUUUUUGAAUGACACGAGGCAGUUUAUUGCAGAAUGGACCAGGUUUAGUAUUUUAGAGAAGGCACUGGUUCUCGUGUUUCAUCUUUAUGGGGACAUCUUAUGAAACUUAUUUGCAGCUGAUCUUGAUUAACAUGUCCUAUUCUGCUAUAGCUGAUUUGACUUUGAGCUUUUAUUUAAUUUGUCGUGCCUUUGUUUCUUCCCU